ACAAGUUUCUCCACAGUUUUAUGAAAAUCUCCGACAGAUUUUAUUGAAAAGAGAGAUCCGAAGAAAGGUUAUAGUUUUUCCAGCAUUUAACGGGUAAAUAAUUCCAGUUGCGAUAAUCGUUUUGGGACUGAUGGCAUUUCCCCCGAGUAUCUUUUGCUCAGCAUGAAAGCAUUUGCCAGAUGUCUAUUUUAAGUUCAGCCUCACAAUAUUGCUAAAUGCAGGAGGAUGGGAAGUCUAAGGCGAUAAUAAGGAUAAUGAAGACGGG